rnacentral:rRNA from 1 species
CCCUUAGAUGUUCUGGGCUGCACGCGUGCUACACUGAUAUUGCCAAUAUGUCAUUCUUAUCCGAAAUGGAUUGGGUAAUCAAGUAAUGAAAUUUCAUGCUUGGAAUCGGUAAUUGCAAUUUUAUCGUGAACGAGGAAUUCCUAGUAAGCACUAGUCAUCAGCUAAUGUUGAUUAUGUCCCUGCCCUUUGUACACACCGCCCGUCGCUACUACUGAUUGGGUGUUCAGGUGAGAUGCUUAGACCCUUGUUGCAUGGUUCAUUAUUGUGCUCCGAAAGGAAAAAGUUUCAAGCUUGAGUGUCUAGAGGAAGUAAAAGUCGUAACA